AAGCCUGUGGCAUAGUGGUUUGGGCAUUGGUCUAUGACGCUGGAGAUCAGGGUUCGAUUUCCAGCUUGGACUUG